rnacentral:rRNA from 1 species
ACGAUCCGUACGUGGUCUGAGAGAUGAUCAGCCACUGGGACUGAGAGACACGGCCCAGACUCCUCAGGGAGGCAGCAGUGGGGNAUAUUGGACAAUGGGCGAAAGCCUGAUCCAGCAAUGCCGCGUGUGUGAAGAAGGCCUGAGGGUUGUAAAGCACUUUCAGCGGNNAGAAGGUAUAAGUGUUAAUACCA